rnacentral:rRNA from 1 species
UACGAAGGGGGCUAGCGUUGCUCGGAAUUACUGGGCGUAAAGGGCGCGUAGGCGGAUAUCUAAGUUGGGGGUGAAAUCCCGGGGCUCAACCUCGGAAUUGCCUUCAAAACUGGAUAUCUUGAGUUCGGGAGAGGUGAGUGGAACUCCGAGUGUAGAGGUGAAAUUCGUAGAUAUUCGGAAGAACACCAGUGGCGAAGGCGACUCACUGGCCCGGUACUGACGCUGAGGUGCGAAAGCGUGGGGAGCAAACAGG